rnacentral:rRNA from 1 species
AACGCGAAGAACCUUACCAGGUCUUGACAUCCUCUGACACUCCUAGAGAUAGGACGUUCCCCUUCGGGGGACAGAGUGACAGGUGGUGCAUGGUUGUCGUCAGCUCGUGUCGUGAGAUGUUGGGUUAAGUCCCGCAACGAGCGCAACCCUUGAUCUUAGUUGCCAGCAUUCAGUUGGGCACUCUAAGGUGACUGCCGGUGACAAACCGGAGGAAGGUGGGGAUGACGUCAAAUCAUCAUGCCCCUUAUGACCUGGGCUACACACGUGCUACAAUGGAUGGUACAAAGGGCAGCGAAGCCGCGAGGUGGAGCCAAUCCCAUAAAACCAUUCUCAGUUCGGAUUGUAGGCUGCAACUCGCCUACAUGAAGCUGGAAUCGCUAGUAAUCGCGGAUCAGCAUGCCGCGGUGAAUACGUUCCCGGGCCUUGUACACACCGUAGUAC